GGGUUUUUAAACCUUUUUAGUAGGGAAGAAGGGAGCUUCGGUUCUUGACGGUACCUGCCAGAAAAAAGCACCGGCUAACUAAAGUGCCAGCAGCCGCGGUAAAUACGUAGGGUGCAAGCGUUUCCGGGAUUAUUGGGCGUAAAGAGCUCGUAGGCGGGUUUGUCGCGUUUGCUGGGAAAUCCCGAGGCUCAACUUCGGGCUUGCAGUGGGUACGGGCAGACUAGAGUGCGGUAGGGGAGAUUGGAAUUCCUGGUGUAGCGGUGGAAUGCGCAGAUAUCAGGAGGAACACCGAUGGCGAAGGCAGAUCUCUGGGCCGUAACUGACGCUGAGGAGCGAAAGCAUGGGGAGCGAACAGGAUUAGAUACCCUGGUAGUCCAUGCCGUAAACGUUGGGCGCUAGAUGUAGGGACCUUUCCACGGUUUCUGUGUCGUAGCUAACGCAUUAAGCGCCCCGCCUGGGGAGUACGGCCGCAAGGCUAAAACUCAAAGGAAUUGACGGGGGCCCGCACAAGCGGCGGAGCAUGCGGAUUAAUUCGAUGCAACGCGAAGAACCUUACCAAGGCUUGACAUACACCGGAAACGGCCAGAGAUGGUCGCCCCCUUGUGGUCGGUGUACAGGUGGUGCAUGGUUGUCGUCAGCUCGUGUCGUGAGAUGUUGGGUUAAGUCCCGCAACGAGCGCAACCCUCGUUCUAUGUUGCCAGCGGGUUAUGCCGGGGACUCAUAGGAGACUGCCGGGGUCAACUCGGAGGAAGGUGGGGAUGACGUCAAAUCAUCAUGCCCCUUAUGUCUUGGGCUUCACGCAUGCUACAAUGGCCGGUACAAAGGGCUGCGAUACCGUAAGGUGGAGCGAAUCCCAAAAAGCCGGUCUCAGUUCGGAUUGAGGUCUGCAACUCGACCUCAUGAAGUCGGAGUCGCUAGUAAUCGCAGAUCAGCAACGCUGCGGUGAAUACGUUCCCGGGCCUUGUACACACCGCCCGUCAAGUCAUGAAAGUCGGUAACACCCGAAGCCGGUGGCCUAACCCUUGUGGAAGGAG
rnacentral:rRNA from 1 species